UCACACACGAUGACUGAACCCAGGGCCUCACAGAUGCUAGGCAAGCAUUUCAUCAUUUUUUAUUUUUCUAAUUAUUUUUGUUUUGUUAGGACUUGUCUGAAACAAGGUUUCACUAUAUUGACCACGCUGGCCUUGAACUCACUCUGUAGCCCUGGCUGACAUAAAACCCACUGUGAUCCUCCUGCCUCAGCCUCUAGAAUACAGGGAGUACAGCCAUGUCUGACUACACCAGGCUCUAUUUUUUUAGUUUUGAGACGGUCUUGCUAAACGCCAGGCUGGCCUCAAACGUGCGAUGUGUCUGCCUCAGUCUUCUGAGCAGCUGGGACUCUGAGUGCGCAGCACCCUAUCCGGCUCUUAAUCGCCUCUUUAAGCCGCAUCUCCACACACACAGUGGCACGGCAUCCGUGAAGAUGGCUGCAGACAGAAAAAUACGCUGCCUGCUCCCAGUACUGGAGUACACUGUGAGCAUGCUGGAGGCAGGGUUACCCACACCGGCUGCAUUCAGCAGCCAGUGCCCGACGUGUGCCUGACUCUCAGUGCGCACGAGCCUGUCGUCGGUCACAGCGGCCACCAGUCACGGUGCCGCCUCGACGCAGCAGCGCAGUGCCAACACGUGACCUCUUACUACCGUGCAGAGCUAGGAAGCUCCAGCAGGUAUUUAACAAACCGGUUUCCUUCUGAUGAAUGAGGUUCAAAGCCAAUAGAAUCACACUAACACUUCAAACUCAAAGACAAGUUUGCACUAAUUUAGGGCUACUAUCAAGAAACCAGCAUUUCAAAUCCAUACCAGGUGUGGUGGUGCUCACCUGUAACACCAGCACUGAGGACACUGAGGCAGGAGGAUCCCUGAGUCUGAGGACAGCCUGCACUACGCAGUGAGACUUGGUCUCCAAAAAGAAAGAAGAGUUCAUGAACUCUUCAUUUAAUCUAUCAAUCAAUAGAUAAAAAGGACAAUUCUGUUAAAAAUGCAGAACCUGGAAGACACUGUUUUUCAAUCACAGUGCUUGGCAAGGCAAAGCAACAGCACAGAGGCCAAGGGCGCACCUCUAAAGGGUCACUGACACCAGAGCUAGACCCGUGUACCACUCACCUGCUGCUUCUCAACAGCUCCGACCCUCGGCCUCUUCAACGUAAGAGGGUUAGCACUACCACAAGCACAUAGAGGGUUACCUACAGGCAGGGAUGUCUGAGCGCGCCUGUAACCUCAGAAUUUGAGUUUAACCCUAGUGUAACUCUCAUCUCCUAAGAAGUAUUUCUUGAUCUUUUCCACCUAUAGCAAGCUGUUCUCUUGAUUUCUGAUUCCAGCCUUCCUUUUCAUCUGUCCACUCAUCCAUAUUUACUCAUACUUUAUAGUUAUAAAGCAAUGAACACAACGGACAAAAUCCUCUGCCCUCACAGGGCUUACACUCUGGUGCAGGGAACUAGACAAUAAACAGAAUAUAGGCGAUAGAUCUUAGAUGAAGCACUAAGGAGAAAAUAAGCAGACCGUUUGCGUGUUGUGUGCGUGCACGCACGUGUGUCAGGGAACGGGGGAAUGGAUUUCAGGCCGGCCAUACUGAGAAUGUACCCUUCCACUCAAAGUCUGAGUAACGUGGGCGAGCACAUACAAGGGAUGCCCCUGCUGAGAUGGGGAAGGAAAAGUCUGGUUAGAGUGAGCCCAAGAGAGAACAGAAACUAGAAACAGCAAACACAGACAACAUCUUUAAUGGGUUUCGCUGUUUAAUUAUGGAGAGAAAAUGGGUAGAGCUAGAGAGGAAAGUGACCCCCAAAAGAUUUUAUUUUCCACUUAAAGAGAGCCAAAGACAUGUUUAUUUGCUGAAAGAAAAAGGGACAAUGCCAUGUAUUUGUGUGAAUCCGCCCAAAAGGUUCAAAGAUUGAAAAUACUGACAGGGGAUCAGGUAGCAGUUUAGGAAUUAACACCAUCUGGCAGCUCUGCAGCAGGCAUCACUGUACUCUUCAGCUACCUGGUCUGUCAAAGGAUAUUAUUAACUUUCUGAGAAAAAAGAGGUGCAAGGCAGAGAUGAACAGAACCGGAAAAAAACUGUGUGGAUCUCAGCCAACCCUAAUCAAGAAACUGACUCUCUAUACGUGAGAAUACAUUCUAAACUUCGGUGUAGAAUGUUACAAAAGGCUUUCUGAAAACAAAUAGGACUGAUGAAACUGAGGUGGCUGUAAUCCCAGCUACUCAGGAGGCCCAGGCAGGAGGACCACAAGUUUGAGACCAGGCUGAGCAACUGAGCAAAAUCCUUUCUCAAAAAAUAAAAAGAGCUGGGAUAUAGCUCGGUGGUGCAGCAUUGGCCUAGCACUGCUCCAGGCCUUGGGUCCAAUCCUAGUACACCCUCCCCGCAAAAACAGCACUGAGAAGGAAAAGAGAUGUCUAGCCUUACCAGAUAAUAGGCAAUGUGGCAAUUUAAACAUCAUGAAACUUACCCUAAACAAGACAUUAAAGGUGAUGCGAUACAGAUGCCUACCUACCAAGCUGGAAACCUAUUAAUAUCCCAACUACACUACCAACUAAACUACAAGUAUCAGAAAGUCACUUAAUGAAAAACUACAGCGCUGUGAAAACAGGAGGCCUGCUCUGUCA
ensembl:lincRNA